UAUGGUUUCGGGCUGGAUAAAUGCCCCAUAACCCAAAUCCGGAAAGGCCCAAAAGUACCUUUGCUUCCUUACAAAUAAUACUAAUCGUAGCAUCAGCAUUGUGUGCAGUGCCUCCAAGAUCAACGGUCAUCCUCUGUUGGCGCGCACCAAUCAGAGAAAGUUGAUAUUGAAAUGUACACGCAAAUAUAGGCUAAGACGAUGGAGGCCUCCAGCUGAGCCAUUAAAAUCUGCUUAUCUAUCAGAUUUCAACUUUUCAUGACAGUUCCACUUGGAUGCAUGUGACCGUCCUCCAAAUGUGAGUGGUUCUUACUUCUACCAAGGAUGACUACAGAAAUGCUGCAUUCUGAUGCAUUGUAAUUGUUCGUCUUUCUAUUAACCUUCUUUUAAAUUCCAAUACAAUUAGUUUAA